GUGCUUUUUAGGCAGCACAUACACUAAAAUUGGAAUGGUACAGAGAAGAUUAGCAUGGCCUCUGUGCAAAGAUGACACACAAUUUCAUGAAGCAUUCCAUAUUUUU